CUACGGGAGGCAGCAGUGGGGAAUAUUGGACAAUGGGCGAAAGCCUGAUCCAGCCAUGCCGCGUGAGUGAUGAAGGCCUUAGGGUUGUAAAGCUCUUUUGUCGGGGACGAUAAUGACGGUACCCGAAGAAUAAGCUCCGGCUAACUUCGUGCCAGCAGCCGCGGUAAUACGAAGGGGGCUAGCGUUGUUCGGAAUCACUGGGCGUAAAGCGCACGUAGGCGGAUCUUUAAGUCAGGGGUGAAAUCCCGGGGCUCAACCUCGGAACUGCCUUUGAUACUGGGGAUCUCGAGUUCGGGAGAGGUGAGUGGAACUGCGAGUGUAGAGGUGAAAUUCGUAGAUAUUCGGAGGAACACCAGUGGCGAAGGCGGCUCACUGGCUCGAUACUGACGCUGAGGUGCGAAAGCGUGGGGAGCAAACAGGAUUAGAAACCCUAGUAGUCC
rnacentral:rRNA from 1 species